UCUUCAUUUCCCGUGCUCUCUCACCGGUCAGAGAGACGAGAGGACACGCGUAAUGAAGAGA
rnacentral:pre_miRNA from 1 species